AGUAACGGCGAGUGAAGCGGGAAGAGCUCAAAUUUGAAAUCUGGUAGCCUUCGGUUGCCCGAGUUGUAAUCUAGAGAAGUGUUUUCCGCGUUGGCCCAUGUACAAGUCCCUUGGAACAGGGCGUCAUAGAGGGUGAGAAUCCCGUCCUUGACAUGGACCCCCAAUGCUUUGUGAUACACUUUCAACGAGUCGAGUUGUUUGGGAAUGCAGCUCAAAAUGGGUGGUGAAUUCCAUCUAAAGCUAAAUAUUGGCGAGAGACCGAUAGCGAACAAGUACCGUGAGGGAAAGAUGAAAAGCACUUUGGAAAGAGAGUUAAACAGUACGUGAAAUUGUUGAAAGGGAAACGAUUGAAGUCAGUCAUGCUCUUUGGAUUAAGCCGUUCUGCGGUGUAUUUCAUUGAGCGGGGUCAACAUCAGUUUUGAUCGCUGGAAAAGGGCAGGAGGAAGGUAGCACUCUCGGGUGAACUUAUAGCCUCUUGUCGUAUACAGUGAUUGGGACUGAGGAACGCAGCAUGCCUUUUGGCCGGGAUUCGUCCACGUACAUGCUUAGGAUGUUGACAUAAUGGCUUUAAACGACCCGUCUUGAA
rnacentral:rRNA from 1 species